rnacentral:rRNA from 1 species
CCCUUAGAUGUUCUGGGCCGCACGCGCGCUACACUGAUGCAUUCAACGAGUCUAAAACCUGCUCUGAUAGGGGUGGGUAAUCUUUUGAAUGUGCAUCGUGAUUGGGAUAGAUGAUUGCAAUUUCUCAUCUUCAACGAGGAAUGCCUAGUAAACGCAAGUCAUCAGCUUGCAUUGAUUACGUCCCUGCCCUUUGUACACACCGCCCGUCGCUCCUACCGAUUGAAUGAUCCGAUGAAUAUCAUGGAUUGAGGAUGCAAGUAGGUUCGCCUAUCUUCAUCUUCGAGAAGUGAAGUAAAUCUUAUCAUUUAGAGGAAGGAGAAGUCGUAACA